UACGGAGGGGGCUAGCGUUGUUCGGAAUCACUGGGCGUAAAGCGCGCGUAGGCGGGUCGUUAAGUCAGGGGUGAAAUCCCGAGGCUCAACCUCGGAACUGCCUUUGAUACUGGCGACCUGGAGUCCGGGAGAGGUGAGUGGAACUCCUAGUGUAGAGGUGAAAUUCGUAGAUAUUAGGAAGAACACCAGUGGCGAAGGCGGCUCACUGGCCCGGUACUGACGCUGAUGCGCGAAAGCGUGGGGAGCAAAC
rnacentral:rRNA from 1 species